rnacentral:lncRNA from 1 species
GAAAGGAGGGAGAAACAUAACAACUGUCAGGAAAAGAAAUGUGGUCUCGCCUGCUGGUGAGAUGAGUGAGGUUUCAGCCCUGUGAGCCGGUUCAGCAUGGAGCAGCUGCAAGGGCUGUGGGUUCUCUGAAGGUAAGAUGAAGCCCAUCCCAAUCUGAGAUCCGGGAGCCAGGUGGCGACAGUGUGGUGUGAGAGAGAAGCUCGUCUCUGAGCAGUCAAGCCCUUUGCUGCAGUUGCUAACUAAACCUGCUGUCAACCUACACUUGCUAAAGUACCAUGCAAUAAGCAUAUCUGCCUGGCACUGCAGGGGAGCCAAGAAAUGGGGAGGAGGGAAUGAAGGAGAUGGAGGAUGGUAACCCACCAACAUUCUACCAAACGGAUUCAUUGUGGAGAUCAGGGAAAAGGCUUUUCCCACUGAGGAAGAACUGAGUGAAGUCAAAUAAAGAAAGCUUUGUAACUGGGGUCUUCCAGAGAGCCAGUGAACAGGUCACAUAAUGAGAAUUAUCUGGAAAUGAAGCUUUGAAGGAACUCCAACCCCAUCCUGCCCCCUCCAGUGGCUGUGAGCCUGUGGUUUCCACUGUGAUCACAAACUGUUCGUUUUUAAGAGACAGAAGCAGCUGGACAUCGAGAGGAGCAUAUCGGAGGAGGAACACACAGGUGGCUGGAUGUCGGGAGGAACGCACCGGCAUGCCAGCAGGCCCCUGGCCAGCAGGCCCCUGACCAGCAGAAUGACGCAGAGUUUGGCUGGGGCAGUCAGAGGAGAGCCCAGGCUGCCAAGCCGCCUGACUCCAGGGGAAAACCAUCACCCUUCUAGCUCCCCUAUCUGCUGAAAGCUAAUUCCACUCAAUAAAACCUGGCACUCAUUCUCCAA